AGCUAACCCUGAUUGCAAUUGAAUCUCGUCUUUUGGGACGAGAUGGAAUGUAAAGCAGGAAUAAGG
rnacentral:sRNA from 1 species